rnacentral:rRNA from 1 species
UACGGAGGGUGCGAGCGUUACCCGGAUUUACUGGGUGUAAAGGGCGUGUAGGCGGUCUCUCAAGUCCGAUGCUAAAGACCGAGGCUCAACCUCGGGAGUGCGUUGGAUACUGUGAGGCUAGACGGUCGGAGAGGGCAGCGGAAUUCUCGGAGUAGCGGUGAAAUGCGCAGAUACCGAGAGGAACGCCAAUAGCGAAGGUAGCUGCCGGGACGAUUUCUGACGCUGAGGCGCGAAAGCGUGGGGAGCAAACCGG